rnacentral:lncRNA from 1 species
GCCUCUUCCCCGUCGUGCUCCCGCCCUGCCUCUUCCCCGUCGCCCCAGCCCCACGUCACACACUGGCCUGUUUGUCCCUGCAGUGUGCGUGGUGCAUGGGGAGGCCCCGCCCUACCAGGCACGGAGGAGCCCCAGCAGGUAAUUAGUGAAUUCACGGGUGAGACGAGGCUCAGCCGAAGCCUCCUGGGACCCAAGGAGAGGAACAGCCAGGCGACAGCGAACGUUCGCUUUAUUACACGGACACGGCGCUAACCCGACUAUUGCAUCUCACAGCAUCUACAGGCCAAACCCAUAGUACGUCAGACGGAGCGGCGAGGGCCACCUCGCAGCCCUGCACAGCCUGCAGACCCAGGGCAUGGGCUUCUCACAACUACAGAAAACAACUCAACUCCUCUGGGAGAGUCAAAAAAAAGAGGAGGAGAAAGUAGAGAGUAAGUCCCCUCCCCACCAGGCUGCACAUGGCUGUGCCCCCGCCUGGUCCUCACCGGCCCGACCCCCUCGGCCCUGGCAGAUGGGGUUGGGGAGCUGACAGCUGGCCUGGCGGGGCUCCCCACCCCAGCCAGGUGGGGACAAGGGAGGCCUGUUGCCGUCAUUGACGUAUUUCAAAAGCAGGUUUCACUCUGAGUACUGACGCUGAGUUCCCGUUCCUCUGGGUCUUUGGGAAGCUACUCCGGGGCUUGGCUGGAUUGAAACAUAAAGAACAGAAAGUGUCCAAAAUGGAGUUUCCUAGAACUUCGGGAAAAUGGAGCAGGGGUUGUCAGCAGCGCCCUGGCCUUAUCUCUGAAGUGUGCACGGGAGCUGGCGGGCCUCUGGGAGGCCAGCCCCAUGGACUCCCCCCUCUCCUCACUGUCUUCCUCUCCGGCCAGCACGCUCAUCAUCCAGGGCCCCAGCCCCAUUUUGGAGAGCACCCCCUCAGUGUGGGAGCUUGCAGGGCAGUGUGGGAGGAAAUAGGCCCCGGGGCUCGGGGAUGCAGGGCAGGGAGGCUGCAGAGGACCCUGGGGAGCACCCAUCACUCCUGGCAGAAUUUAUCCAGGCAGGUCUGUUCCCAGAAGUCCCCAGUCUCAGGCCGUAAGGACUCAACUCUGAGCCAUCUGGGAUCCCAGGAAAGGGAAUGGGAGCCUGGCACCUAGCCUUUGAUCACCACAGCCAACUGCCCUGCCCACCUGGAAGGGCACUGGAGUGUGGGUGGGGACAAGAUGGAGCCCCAGUGGGGGAGAGAGAUGAGAAGAGUCCCAGGACGUCUACCUCCGAGGGAGAACGAGGUUUCUGUUGUCAGACUUGGUUCCAGACGGUACCUGACCGGUGGUGACCCGACAGGAUCCAUCCUUAUGAUGCUCAAAGAAUGAAUUUUUACCACCGUGAAAGAACCACCAGCAGGCAAACCGCUCCUCCCCUCGGGGCCACUGUUCGGAUUUCUUUGAAAAUCUGUUUCCUACACUUCGCAAACUCCUGCGGUUUCUGUUUUUUAUUUGGCAAACAUCUCGUUUAUUACCAUCAUGAAUAUCAUUUGGACCUCUGCA